rnacentral:miRNA from 1 species
AUGUAGCGAGCUGAGUGGGGAGGAGAGAGGGACAGAGAGCCUGCUUGCUUUAAAGGAACGAACCGGACAGGAGCCGCUUACACUCGUGUAAGCAGCUCCUCUCCUCUCCCGCUUUGCUCCUUUAAAGAAGCAGGCUCUCUGUCCCUCUCUCCUCCCCACUCAGCGGCUCUUCUC